rnacentral:ncRNA from 1 species
UAAAUAUGGUAUGAAAACUUGUAUAGCAUCAGGAAUAUGGCUGAUUGCGUUUCUACCUGCUGACCGUAAAUCAGCGGACUACAAGUAAAUCUUUUUA